rnacentral:rRNA from 1 species
AUUGAACGCUGGCGGCAGGCCUAACACAUGCAAGUCGAGCGGAUGAGUGGAGCUUGCUCCAUGAUUCAGCGGCGGACGGGUGAGUAAUGCCUAGGAAUCUGCCUGGUAGUGGGGGACAACGUUUCGGAAGGAACGCUAAUACCGCAUACGUCCUACGGGAGAAAGCAGGGGACCUUCGGGCCUUGCGCUAUCAGAUGAGCCUAGGUCGGAUUAGCUAGUUGGUGGGGUAAAGGCCUACCAAGGCGACGAUCCGUAACUGGUCUGAGAGGAUGAUCAGUCACACUGGAACUGAGACACGGUCCAGACUCCGACGGGAGGCAGCAGUGGGGAAUAUUGGACAAUGGGCGAAAGCCUGAUCCAGCCAUGCCGCGUGUGUGAAGAAGGUCUUCGGAUUGUAAAGCACUUUAAGUUGGGAGGAAGGGCAGUAAGCUAAUACCUUGCUGUUUUGACGUUACCGACAGAAUAAGCACCGGCUAACUCUGUGCCAGCAGCCGCAGUAAUAC